UGGAACUACAGUACCGUCACCAGAUAAGACAAAAUAAAAGUCCCCCACUGCAAUAGUUUUUUGGUUUGUUUUUUUAAAGAAUACAACUUGAUUUGGAAAUUGUUAAUCAUUUUGAUUUGUUGUAAAUUAAGGUAGUAGCGAGUGUAUUUAUUGUAAACCAAAUUUGUGUUUAACAGAAAACAAUAAGUGUAACAUUAUAUCUGAAGGUCUUGUGACAUUUAUAAUAAUAGCCAGUUGAACAAAGGGCGUUUCUUUGUUUACUUCGCAAAUUUGAUGUGCAGUGUUUGAAUAUGACACUUUGAGAGUUUGUGCAGGUGAGGAUUAUUGGCAGUGGCGUAGAUUCUCGGGGGAUUGGUGGAGCUAACCCCCCAAUAAUCAAAACAAGCAGGUACAACCCCAGCGAGAAUGCAUCACUUUGAAGAACUAACUUCGAAUCCUUCUUUAAUUUCAAACUGCUUUCCAUUAGUCAACUGUUUUAAUUAGUGAUAUACUUUCACAGAUGUUGGUGUUGACAGCAUUAACCACCUUGGACAGACACCACUGUUUUGCGCAAGUGUAGCUGAGAAGCUUCUACAGCAUCGAGCAAACCCGAAUCAGUAUGGCCAAACCUGUGUGCCUUGUCCCUCCACAAUCAGCCAUGGAGCUUGUAUGCAUAUCCAAAGAGCAUAAUGUGUCAUGUGUAAUGUUUUUGGGUCCACCAACCGCUGUUAUGACGGGAGUACCCCCGUCCAUGCUGCAGUUUUCUCUUGUAAUCCCUGGCUCCUCUGUUCUCUGUUGGAUGCUGGCGGGGACCUGCGUCUCCAUGACAAUCAGGGCAGACACCAAGAGACUGGGCUGAUGCAGGUGCUCAGGCGAAUAGCCCAAAGAUACUUUCUUUCCUGAAGAGGUGUGAGCAUCAAAUGCAGAGCUUGUUGCAGACACAUCUGCCCAGGGAUGCACGAGUCACCCCAAACUCCUCAAAUACUCUACUGAGCUCUCCCUCCCAGCUCAAGCUUUUGUAACCUUAGUAAAAUCUGCAAUAUCUCUCUGACAUUUAAUCUUUAUCAGUGUUUAUCCAUGUGCAAUGCUUUUUUGUUAAAUAAAAGUUAAGCUCAAAUGACAGCA